rnacentral:lncRNA from 10 species
CAGGGGCUUUCCAAGUCCAAGUCCACAGCUCCUUCCUCCUGAGAACCUGAGUGUGAAUAACCCACUGCAUCCCAGGGAGGAUGGGCCAGUUCUGGAUGAUGCUGUGUGUAUUUCCUCAGUGAUAUGGUUUGGCUGCAUCCCCCACCCAAAUCUCAACUCGAUUUGUAUCGCCCAGAAUUCCCACAUGUUGUGGAAGGAACCCAGGGGGAGGUAAUUUAAUCAUGGGGGCCAGUCCUUCCUGUGCUAGUCUCGUAAUAGUGAAUAAAUCUCACGAGAUCUGAUGGGUUUAUCAGGGGGUUCCGCUUUUGCUUCUUCCUCAUUUUUUCUUGCUGCCAUGUAAGAAGUGCCUUUCGCCUCCUGCCAUGAUUCUGAGUCCUCCUCAGCCAUGUGGAACUGUAAGUCCAAUGAAACCUCUUUUUCUUCCCAGUCUCAGGUAUGUCUUUAUCAGCUGCCUGAAAAUGGACUAAUACAGUAAAUUGGCACCAAUAGAGUGGGGCAUUGCUGAAAAGAUACCCGAAAAUGUGGAAGUGACUUUGGAACUGGGUAACAGGCAGAGAUUGGAACAGUUUGAAGGGCUCAGAAGAAGACAGGAAAAUUUGCAGCCUGACUAUGCAACAGAAAAGAAAACCCCAUUUUCUGGGGAGAAAUUCAAGCUGGCUGCAGAAAUUAGCAUAAGUAGCAAGGAGCCUAAUGUUAAUCCCCAAGACCAUGGGGAAAAUGUCUCCAGGCUAUGUCAGAGACCUUCAUGGAGGCCCCUCCCAUCACGGGACCAGAGGCCCAGGAGGAAACUGUGGUUUUGUAGGCCAUGCCCAGGGUCCCUGUGCUGUGUGCAAUCUAGGGACUUGGUGCCCUGUGUCCCAGCUGCUCCAGCCAUGGCUGAAAGGGGCCAAUGUAUAGUCGGGCUGUGGCUUCAGAGGGUGCAAGCCCAAGCCUUGGCAGCUUCCACAUGGUAUUGAUCCUGUGGGUGCACAGAAGUCAAGAAUUGAGGUUUGGGAACCUCUGCCUAGAUUUCAGAAGAUGUAUGGAAAUGCAUAGAUGCCCAGGCAGAAGUUUGUUGCAGGGGCAGGGCCUUCAUGAAGAACCUCUGUUAGGGCAGUGCAGAAGGAAAAUGUGGGAUUGGAGCCCCCACACAGAGUCCCUACUGGGGCACUGCCUAGUGGAGCUGUGAGAAGAUGGCCACUGACCUCCAGACCCCAGAAUAGUAGAUCCAUCUACCACUUGCACCAUGCACCUGGAAAAGCUGUAGACACUCAGUGCCAGACUAUGAAAACAGCCAGGAGGGAGGCUGUACCCUGCAAAGCCACAAGGGCAGAGCUGCCCAAGACCGUGGGAACCUACGUUUUACAUCAGCAUGACCUUGAUGUCUAAGGAGAUCAUUUUGGAGCUUUAAAAUUUGACUGUCCUGCUCUCCCUCUCCCUCUCCCUCUCCCUCUCCCCACGGUCUCCCUCUCCCUCUCUUUCCACGGUCUCCCUCUGAUGCCGAGCCGAAGCUGGACUGUACUGCUGCCAUCUCGGCUCACUGCAACCUCCCUGCCUGAUUCUCCUGCCUCAGCCUGCAGAGUGCCUGCGAUUGCAGGCGCGCGCUGCCACGCCUGACUGGUUUUCGUAUUUUUUUGGUGGAGACGGGGUUUCGCUGUGUUGGCCGGGCUGGUCUCCAGCUCCUAACCGCGAGUGAUCCGCCAGCCUCGGCCUCCCGAGGUGCCGGGAUUGCAGACGGAGUCUGGUUCACUCAGCGCUCAAUGGUGCCCAGGCUGGAGUGCAGUGGCGUGAUCUCGGCUCGCUACAACCUCCACCUCCCAGCCGCCUGCCUUGGCCCCCCAAAGUGCCGAGAUUGCAGCCUCUGCCCGGCCGCCACCCCGUCUGGGAAGUAAGGAGCAUCUCUGCCUGGCCGCCCAUCGUCUGGGAUGUGAGGAGCCCCUCUGCCUGGCUACCCAGUCUGGAAAAUGAGGAGCGUCUCUGCCCGGCCGCCAUCCCAUAUAGGAAGUGAGGAGCGCCUCUUCCCGACCGCCAUCCCAUCUAGGAAGUGAGGAGCGUCUCUGCCCGUCCGCCCAUCGUCUGAGAUGUGGGGAGCGCCUCUGCCCUGCCACCCCGUCUGGGAUGUGAGGAGCGCCUCGUCUGGGAGGUGAGGAGCAUCUCUGACCGGUCGCCCCGUCUGAGAAGUGAGGAGACCCUCCGCCUGGCAACCGCCCCCUCUGAGAAGUGAGGAGCCCCUCCACCCGGCAGCCGCCACGUCAGAGAAGUGAGGAGCCCCUCCGCCUGGCAGCCACCCCGUCUGGGAAGUGAGGAGCUUCUCCGCCCGGCAGCCACCCCGUCCGGGAGGGAGGUGGGAGUCAACCCCCACCAGGCCAGCUGCCCCGUCUGGGAGGGAGGUGGGGGUGUCAGACCCCGCCCGGCCAGCCGCCCUGUCCGGGAGGUGAGGGCCGCCUCUGCCCGGCCGCCCCUACUGGGAAGUGAGGAGCUCCUCUGCCCGGCCAGCCGCCCCGUCCGGGAGGGAGGUUGGGGGGUCAGCCCCCCGCCCGGCCAGCCGCCCCAUCCGGGAGGGAGGUGGGG